GACGAACGCUGGCGGCGUGCCUAAUACAUGCAAGUAGAACGCACAGUUUAUACCGUAGCUUGCUACACCAUAGACUGUGAGUUGCGAACGGGUGAGUAACGCGUAGGUAACCUGCCUGGUAGCGGGGGAUAACUAUUGGAAACGAUAGCUAAUACCGCAUAAUAUUAAUUAUUGCAUGAUAAUUGAUUGAAAGAUGCAACUGCAUCACUACCAGAUGGACCUGCGUUGUAUUAGCUAGUAGGUGAGGUAACGGCUCACCUAGGCGACGAUACAUAGCCGACCUGAGAGGGAGAUCGGCCAAACUGGGACUGAGAAAAGGCCCAGACUCCUACGGGAGGCAGCAGUAGGGAAUCUUCGGAAAUGGACGAAAGUCUGAACGAGCAACGCCGGGUGAGGGAAGAAGGUUGUCGGAGUGUAAAGCUCUGUUGUAAGAGAAGAACGGGUGUGAGAGUGGAAAGUUCACACUGUGACGGUAUCUUACCAGAAAGGGACGGCUAACUACGUG
rnacentral:rRNA from 1 species